AAACCAUGCAUAGGACAUUUGUGCUGUAAAUUUUUAAAUCGCUUAUAAGCUUCAUAAAAAAUUCAUCCUCUAAUUGCUUGAAAGAUGCGAUAUCAUUUCUCAUUCU